UGAGGAAUUUUGCGCAAUGGCCGCAAGGCUGACGCAGCAACGCCGCGUGGGUGAAGAAGGCCUUCGGGUCGUAAAGCCCUGUCAGGUGGGAAGAAAUCCAUGGGGAGUAAUAUGCCUUAUGGUUGACGGUACCACCAGAGGAAGCACCGGCUAACUCCGUGCCAGCAGCCGCGGUAAUACGGAGGGUGCGAGCGUUAUUCGGAAUUACUGGGCGUAAAGCGCGUGCAGGCGGCCAUGCAAGUCUGAUGUGAAAGCCCCGGGCUUAACCUGGGAAGUGCAUUGGAAACUGCAUGGCUUGAGUACUGGAGAGGAAGGGGGAAUUCCCGGUGUAGAGGUGAAAUUCGUAGAGAUCGGGAGGAAUACCAGUGGCGAAGGCGCCCUUCUGGACGGUUACUGACGCUGAGACGCGAAAGCGUGGGGAGCAAACA
rnacentral:rRNA from 1 species